AGCGAACGCUGGCGGCAGGCCUAACACAUGCAAGUCGAACGAACUCUUCGGAGUUAGUGGCGGACGGGUGAGUAACACGUGGGAACGUGCCUUUUGGAUCGGAAUAACUCAGGGAAACUUGUGCUAAUACCGAAUGUGCCCUUCGGGGGAAAGAUUUAUCGCCAUUAGAGCGGCCCGCGUCUGAUUAGCUAGUUGGUGAGGUAACGGCUCACCAAGGCGACGAUCAGUAGCUGGUCUGAGAGGAUGACCAGCCACACUGGGACUGAGACACGGCCCAGACUCCUACGGGAGGCAGCAGUGGGGAAUCUUGCGCAAUGGGCGAAAGCCUGACGCAGCCAUGCCGCGUGAAUGAUGAAGGUCUUAGGAUUGUAAAAUUCUUUCACCGGGGACGAUAAUGACGGUACCCGGAGAAGAAGCCCCGGCUAACUUCGUG
rnacentral:rRNA from 1 species